UGGCGAGUGGCGAACGGGUGAGUAAUGAAUCGGAACGUGCCCGGUAGUGGGGGAUAACCAGUCGAAAGACUGGCUAAUACCGCAUACGACCUACGGGUGAAAGCGGGGGACCGUAAGGCCUCGCGCUAUCGGAGCGGCCGAUUUCCGAUUAGCUAGUUGGUGAGGUAAAGGCUCACCAAGGCGAUGAUCGGUAGCUGGUCUGAGAGGACGGCCAGCCACACUGGGACUGAGACACGGCCCAGACUCCUACGGGAGGCAGCAGUGGGGAAUUUUGGACAAUGGGCGAAAGCCUGAUCCAGCCAUGCCGCGUGCGGGAAGAAGGCCUUCGGGUUGUAAACCGCUUUUGGCAGGAACGAAACGGCGCGAGCCAAUACCUCGCGUUAAUGACGGUACCUGCAGAAUAAGCACCGGCUAACUACGUGCCAGCAGCCGCGGUAAUACGUAGGGUGCAAGCGUUAAUCGGAAUUACUGGGCGUAAAGCGUACGCAGGCGGCUUGGUAAGACAGAUGUGAAAUCCCCGGGCUCAACCUG
rnacentral:rRNA from 1 species